rnacentral:lncRNA from 1 species
GUGAAAUCAGUGUUAACACCUUCAGGGCACACAGUGGAUAAGCCUGGACUAAUUUCAAUGUGACUCAAAUUUCUGUGUGCUUGUUUAAAUGAAGAGUGUGCAAAUGUGCAGCUGCUGAAAUCAUGCUGUAUUGAUGACUGAUAUCUGUGUGCAGUUACAGCAGAAUAACAAAACUGUUGAAGAAAAAGUAAAUUCUACUCAACAUAGUGAGGAAUUUUUAUAAGUAAGUCAUUUAACUUUUUUAUAUUUAAUGCAUCAUUUUAUUUUAAAAUGAG